GAUGAACGCUGGCGGCGUGCUUAACACAUGCAAGUCGAACGAUGAAGCCCAGCUUUCUGGGUGGAUUAGUUGCGAACGGGUGAGUAACACGUGAGUAACCUGCCCUUAACUCUGGGAUAAGCCUGGUAAACUGGGUCUAAUACCGGAUAGGAGCGUCCACCGCAUGGUGGGUGUUGUAAAGAUUUAUCGGUUUUGGAUGGACUCGCGGCCUAUCAGCUUGUUGGUGAGGUAUUGGCUCACCAAGGCGACGACGGGUAGCCGGCCUGAGAGGGUGACCGGCCACACUGGGACUGCGACACGGCCCAGACUCCUACGGGCGGCAGCAGUGGGGAAUAUUGCACAAUGGGCGAAAGCCUGAUGCAGCGACGCCGCGUGCGGGAUGACGGCCUUCGGGUUGUAAACCUCUUUCAGUAGGGAAGAAGAGAAAGUGACGGUACCUGCAGAAGAAGCACCGGCUAACUACGUG
rnacentral:rRNA from 1 species